UACGAAGGGUGCAAACGUUGCUCGGAAUUAUUGGGCGUAAAGAGCGCGCAGGCGGUCGUUCAAGUCGAGUGUGAAAGCCCCGGGCUCAACCUGGGAAUGGCGAUGGAUACUGGCUCGCUAGAGUGCGGUAGAGGAGAGUGGAAUUCCCGGUGUAGCAGUGAAAUGCGUAGAGAUCGGGAGGAACAUCAGUUGCGAAGGCGGCUCUCUGGACCAGCACUGACACUGAGGCACGAAAGCGUGGGGAGCAAACAGG
rnacentral:rRNA from 1 species